rnacentral:rRNA from 1 species
GCACAAGCGGCGGAGCAUGUGGAUUAAUUCGAUGCAACGCGAAGAACCUUACCUGGGCUUGACAUACACCAGAUCGGCGCAGAGAUGCUCUUUCCCUUUGUGGUUGGUGUACAGGUGGUGCAUGGUUGUCGUCAGCUCGUGUCGUGAGAUGUUGGGUUAAGUCCCGCAACGAGCGCAACCCUUGUCUUAUGUUGCCAGCACGUGAUGGUGGGGACUCAUGAGAGACUGCCGGGGUUAACUCGGAGGAAGGUGGGGAUGACGUCAAAUCAUCAUGCCCCUUAUGUCCAGGGCUUCACACAUGCUACAAUGGUCGGUACAACGCGUUUGCGAGCCUGUGAGGGUGUGCUAAUCGCUGAAAGCCGGCCUUAGUUCGGAUUGGGGUCUGCAACUCGACCCCAUGAAGUCGGAGUCGCUAGUAAU